GACAUAUACAGGAAUAUGGCAGAAAUGUCAUAGCCGCAAGGUCUGUAUACAGGUGGUGCAUGGUUGUCGUCAGCUCGUGUCGUGAGAUGUUGGGUUAAGUCCCGCAACGAGCGCAACCCUCGUUCUGUGUUGCCAGCAUUUAGUUGGGGACUCACAGGAGACUGCCGGGGUUAACUCGGAGGAAGGUGGGGAUGACGUCAAAUCAUCAUGCCCCUUAUGUCUUGGGCUGCACGCAUGCUACAAUGGCUGGUACAAACGGCUGCGAUACCGCAAGGUGGAGCGAAUCCGAUAAAGCCAGUCUCAGUUCGGAUUGGGGUCUGCAACUCGACCCCAUGAAGUCGGAGUUGCUAGUAAUCGUAGAUCAGCAACGCUACAGGUGAAUACGUUCCCGGGGCUUGUACACACCGCCCGUCACGUCACGAAGUCGGUAACACCACGAAGUCAGUGCCCAACCGUAAGGGG
rnacentral:rRNA from 1 species